rnacentral:rRNA from 1 species
UACGGGGGGGGCAAGCGUUGUUCGGAAUUACUGGGCGUAAAGGGCUCGUAGGUGGCCAACUAAGUCAGACGUGAAAUCCCUCGGCUUAACCGGGGAACUGCGUCUGAUACUGGAUGGCUUGAGUUUGGGAGAGGGAUGCGGAAUUCCAGGUGUAGCGGUGAAAUGCGUAGAUAUCUGGAGGAACACCGGUGGCGAAGGCGGCAUCCUGGACUAACACUGACACUGAGGAGCGAAAGCCAGGGGAGCAAACGGG